rnacentral:rRNA from 1 species
AUUGAACGCUGGCGGCAUGCCUUACACAUGCAAGUCGAACGGCAGCACGGGGCAACCUGGUGGCGAGUGGCGAACGGGUGAGUAAUGCAUCGGAACGUACCUUUCAGUGGGGGAUAACGUAGCGAAAGUUACGCUAAUACCGCAUAUUCUGUGAGCAGGAAAGCAGGGGAUCGCAAGACCUUGCGCUGAUUGAGCGGCCGAUGUCAGAUUAGCUAGUUGGUGAGGUAAAGGCUCACCAAGGCGACGAUCUGUAGCGGGUCUGAGAGGAUGAUCCGCCACACUGGAACUGAGACACGGCCCAGACUCCUACGGGAGGCAGCAGUGGGGAAUUUUGGACAAUGGGGGCAACCCUGAUCCAGCCAUGCCGCGUGAGUGAAGAAGGCCUUCGGGUUGUAAAGCUCUUUCGGCCGGGAAGAAAUCGCACGGGCUAAUACCCUGUGUGGAUGACGGUACCGGAAUAAGAAGCACCGGCUAACUACGUGCCAGCAGCCGCAGUAA